rnacentral:Y_RNA from 1 species
GGCUGGGCCCAGUGCAGAGGUGUUUACAACUACUUGAUCAGUCAGUUACAGAUCUCUUUGCUCCUUCUCUGCUCUUGCUGCUUCACUUGUCUAGUCCUUC